AGCAGCUGUCGCCACUGAUUCUGCCCCAAGCAGUAGCUGAGCAGGAGUGAAAACAUGCUGGUGAGAAGAAACUCAGAACAUCAAGUCCUCUCUUGUGCUGUUUCAUCAAAUUUGCAAGUACAGGAGGCAGAAGUUCUGGCCACGUAGCAGAUUACCCAGCGGUGCACCGUCAAGCUUACGGGGUGUGGCGUUCCCAGGGCAAGUGACUGGUUGGCCCCAGGAGGACUGAGAGGAUCAAAACAAACUCUCGUCAGCACGGCAGCUUCCGAGGUGAGCCAGUGUCAAGGAGACGGCCAUCAUUGAGGGCAUCCAGGCUGAGGAAGGACUGAAUAAUCAAGGACAAAUGAAUGUCUACAAGGAAGUGGCUUUUCAAGCAAUGCUGAAUUAUAUUUAUUAGGAUUACAACAAAGAGUAUGAUGGUUAUCAUCAAGCAAACAGAACUCAUCAUUCCACACCUUCUGAUAGUUAAGCAAGAGCUAUUACCUGCCUGUCUGAGAUUCCUGAACAGUGACUGUAAUAGUAUGAUCGCUGAACUGAGAAUCAGAACACCAGAGCUCUGUCAAUAACAGUAACAAGCUCAGCUUUCUUGGGGUCAACUGUUGUCUGGAAGCAGAAGAUAGUCCUCCCGGUGUAUGGUCAGAGGGUCAGGAGUAGCCCUACGCUACGUCCCAGUGCCCACGUCCUUCACCUCACUUCGUCUCAUCGCACAGGCGUGGUAUCCUCUCACCUCAUCGCAAGAAGGGCACAUGGGAAACUGCACUUCUCUGACUACUUGCAAUUGAGUAAGUAAUGUGGUUAUCAGCCUCUGUCCAUCAUAAAACGUGAGUACAAAUGAUACUUAUCACAGCUUGGUGGUAAAAAAAAAAAUGAAAAUGCAUGGUUCCCUAAUUUCUUCUUCUUUCUUAUGUAGUGACCAAGGAGGUUAUGCUUUCAGAUAAAAGAUGCUGGUGGCUUUAUCCCUACCUAAGUUCCUGAGUGAUAGUAUGUAGCAUUCCUCCAUCAUUUUGGGUGGGACACAUGGCAUGACCACAUACUAACUUUUAAUUUGUAUUAAACCAUGAAAUUGGGUGGGAGGAGGAACCGUUUUGUUGGCCAAACCCUAUACUCUUACACGAUUUAGUGCUAAUGGGAAUGAAAUACCUCCCCAAUCCCACAUUUAAGUUCUGGAUAUUGAGAAUGUAUAUAUAUGUAUUUAUGUUUGUGUAAAAGUCACAUGUGCUGUUUCACACCUUCCUAUGUUUUAUUUUCAUGGAACACAUUGAUAUAUAUCAUGUACAAGAUGUUAAUGAUGAUAUUGAAUUAUGUCUUGGAUAUUUGGGGUCUGUUGCUUAGGGGAAUAGAUGCUCUCUGAUGCUAUUUUCUUUUUGGACAUUUUGAGAUUAUAGGGUUAUGCGGUGUCCAGGGAGAGCUUCCCAACUGGCACUUAGAGGAGAUUGAGACUUUUCCAGAGGAAUCUAUAUUAACAGCAUAGGUUUAAGAGCCAUCAGACUAUAGGUAAUAGCUAUUGCAGUAACAGUAUACAAGAGUAUUUAAGAAAACAUGCAGAAUAAAAUUUUUGUGAGAGUUAAGGGAAGGGAAAAGACAGAAAGAAGAGUAUUCUAAAACAAGCUGUUUGAGAAAUGAGAGACAGAGUAUUGCAACUAGAAUAAUACUUAGAAAAAAUGAAGGUUCCUUCCCCUCUUUUUCUGGAUAUGUGAGUCGCUUGAGCUGAUAUUUAAAUGAAAGACAAGGGUUUAGUGGACCUUGUGUGCACUCUCAUGUGCCAGGGUGCUGCCACAGCUCAGAACUGAGUUUUCCUUCCAGGUUUGUUGUGGGAUGAAAGAAGCUUUCUUGCAAAAUUACAUCCAUUCCCACAGGAGAGCCCACAUUCCAUGACUGGUUGAUAAAGGGGUACAAAGUUCAACCCUUUGCCUCACUUGAGACAACUUUGAUGGGCCUUCAGCUGUUGAGCUCCUGCAGGAUACGUGGAGGCUUUGCUGCUACUGCUUUGAGGUUUCACUUGUUUCAUCUUGCUUGCUGCAUCCCUUGCAGGGGCUGACCCUCAGAGUAGUCCUUAGGAAGUCUCCUAAGUACAUAUCUCAGGCUGAGACAGACAAGAGAGCAAAUAACAACCGGUAUGACGAAUUGGAACAAGGUUAUACAUUUAGAAGAACAGACAGCAGAAUUGAUUAAUCAAAAGGAUGUAUGCUUAUCUUGCAAUGAAAAAGGCAUGAACAUGUGGAUGGAGGUAAAUGAUGAAAUGGGAACAAUGAGGCUGUUUAUGCCUGAGAGCCUAUUCAUUUUUCUAUGUAGUUGGCUGUCUAUUCUGUUGAGAGGAAAAGGAGUCUUUGAGGUAUGAGCAAUGUUAUAAAUUUUUAAUAUAGUAGGUAUGGAGAAUGCAGAAGAAGGUGACCAGGACAGGUAGAAUGAUUGCUUAGAGCAAUGCUGAGGACAAAAAUGAAGUUGGAAAGAACACAGGACUAUAAAGAGCGGAGAUGUCAAAUGUUGGCUAGAUUAUUUCACAUGAAUUGAUAAUCAGAGUUUCAGCCUUUCAUCUAAAUGCUUGGGACAGUAAUACUAGCCCUUGGAAUUUCAUAGAAUUGCUGUGGUGGUGAAUACAAUAGGUGUGCUAAAGUGAAUUUUAAUAAAUUAUAAUAGCCAAAUGCAUGCCAACAGUUGUUUUAGUCAAUGUAAAGAAAUAUUGACUACAGUUGGGAAAGAAAAUUGAACAAUGUGCAGAGAAUAUGGAAGUGAAAAAUCUUAAGCGUAUUAAUGUAAAACCUGAAAGUCUGUGCUCUGAAGUGUCACUCACUGUUCAACUGCAUAAAACCUCUACCAAGUGAUUGGAAUUUGAAGUUGAUAAGGAGCUUUGUAAGAAUGAUUUAUAACUGGCUACCUUUUGAAAAAGAGGACUCCAGGGUAGAUCAAUGCACUCUAAUAGAACCACUUAUCACUGCACUAAAUGCCAUGAUUAUUCUUGUUAUUUGAUUCCAUUCUUCCUCAGAUCUAGGCAUUCACAUUGUCUCUGAUUGGUCUGUCUUGUCUUGUCCUGAGGCAUAGCUAUGCAAGUCACUGCAGUUUGAAUUUGUUCUCUACUUGUUUUGGUCAUGUUAUUAAAAUUGAUCCAUCAGCCCUGUGUCCUGUUCACUCUCUGGAAACCUCCUGAGGAGGAGGGGCACAGUCAGCAUAUUGGCUCCCUUUGUUACUGAGCUGGGAGGAAGUCUGAAUACAAUGCAUCUUAAAAAAUAUAGAAUAUAAUAAAGCCUUGGCCAUAACUUCUGGCAAGUGGGUUUGGGACUACAAAGUGAAUUAGAAGAUUCUACUUGUUCAUUUGAGAGAAUAACCCUUUGUUUUCUAAUUGGAGAAUGACUGAAGACAAUCAAUUUAAAUGAUAAACAGUUAUUUGCCAGGUAUUAUGCUACUAAUUUUUUUAAAAAGAUUUUAUUUAUUUAUUUGAGAGAGAGGGAGAGCUCAGGUGGCAGGGGUCAGACAGAGAAGCAGGCUUCCUUACUGAACAGGUAGCCGGACGUGGGAUUCCAACUAAGGACCCUGAGAUCAUGACCUGAGGUGAAGGCAGAUGCUUAACCAACUGAGCCACCCAGGCACCCCAUCCUACUAAUUUUAUAUAUGCCAACUUGUUUAAUUCUCUCCACAAACUCAUUAGAUGAAUACUUUCAUUUACUUCUUUUUAGUCCUAUUGCUAAAUGGGUAGCCUAAAUAACAUCAACCCAACAUAGAGGCGUUCUGAUGCUGAAGGCUUUCCUAGGAACCCUAAAGUCAGUGUGACCGAUCAUUACCUCAUAGGUGAUAAACAGCUUAUCUUAACCAUAGACUAUUUGCAAGUGGGAAUCAGAGGCAUGCUUGCUUGUAAAUCCUUACGGAAUUUUUGUUAAAUAUUUCAUUGUCUCCAAUAAGAUUACAUUUUUAAUUUUUAUGAAAAUUUUCGUUUUUGAAAGUUAGUGGCAGGGGAGGAGUGAAGGAACCUCUGAUAGCACUCUUUGAAGAGUUUCAACUGUGCUAGUAUUUGAUACAUUAGGAAUGUGGAGAACGUUUACUGCAUUUCAAAAAAUAAUGCAAAUAAGUUAUCCUUGAUUUAUAGUUACGUAGAAAGCACAACAUAUCUUUCCUGUUUUCUUUUCUCCUAAUGACUCAAGAGUUUUGCAGAUCAUUUUUUUUUUCUUUUAAUUUAGUGAGGUACUUAAUGCUGGACCCAAGAUUCCAUCUGUGCACUGAUUAUAGGUGAGAGGUUUAUGAAGUGAUAGGGAGGGAGGAGGAAGAGAUUUAAUCAGCUCAAAAUAUAGUCUCUUUAUGCCUCCUCUAAAAAUAUUCUGCUAGAUUUGUACUGAUUAAAUAAAAUAUGAAUCAAUUUGCUGUUUAUACAGCUUAAGAGACCAGCAUUAGAGGAUAUUUGUGCUUUUCUUUUUCCUUUGAGGAGAGAAGGACAAAGGAUUAGUAAUCUUUAGAAGAUUUAUUAAAGAAAAGUAAGCCUAGUUAGAUUCUAGCUAAAAUAAAUGCAUUAGCAAAUGCAUGUGUGUGUUUGUGUGUCUGUGUAGCCUGAAUAUCGUUACUUAUUAUUUAGCAAAGGUAAAAUAAAAUAUCUCAUGUCAAAGUUUUUAGGGUUUAAGCAGUAUUCAUUUGUUCAUAACACAAUGACUUCAAUAAAGCUUGAAGUACUUCUUUGGGAGAGAAAGUGACUUAUAAAAUGAUAUGAGUAUCAGGGUGUUCUUCAAUUAUCUGCUGAUAAUACACCGAGUUCAGAAAUGCUAGGUGAAUAGCAUUUUGUUAUAAAGCUAAGGGAGGGGCGCCUGGGUGGCACAGCGGU